GUCAUGGUGGUGCGUGGUUAAGGCGUUGGACUCGAAAUCCAACGGGGUCUCAACGCACAGGUUCAAAUCCUGUCCAUGACG
rnacentral:tRNA from 1 species